rnacentral:antisense_RNA from 1 species
CUUGAGCGAGCCCAGCCAGGCGGGUUCGGCGCGUCCCUUGCCGUAGGUGGCGAGCAGCGCCUGGGCCUC